rnacentral:rRNA from 1 species
GAUGAACGCUGGCGGCGUGCCUAAUACAUGCAAGUCGAGCGAACAGAUGAGGAGCUUGCUCCUCUGACGUUAGCGGCGGACGGGUGAGUAACACGUGGAUAACCUACCUAUAAGACUGGGAUAACUUCGGGAAACCGGAGCUAAUACCGGAUAAUAUAUUGAACCGCAUGGUUCAAUAGUGAAAGACGGUUUUGCUGUCACUUAUAGAUGGAUCCGCGCCGCAUUAGCUAGUUGGUAAGGUAACGGCUUACCAAGGCAACGAUGCGUAGCCGACCUGAGAGGGUGAUCGGCCACCCUGGAACUGAGCCGCGGUCCAGACUCCUACGGGAGGCAGCAGUAGGGAAUCUUCCGCAAUGGGCGAAAGCCUGACGGAGCAACGCCGCGUGAGUGAUGAAGGUCUUCGGAUCGUAAAACUCUGUUAUUAGGGAAGAACAAAUGUGUAAGUAACUAUGCACGUCUUGACGGUACCUAAUCAGAAAGCCACGGCUAACUACGUG